ensembl:rRNA 5S_rRNA 5S ribosomal RNA
GCUUACGGCCAUACCACCCUGAACACGCCCGAUCUCGUCUGAUCUCGGAAGCUAAGCAGGGUCGGGCCUGGUUAGUACUUGGAUGGGAGACCGCCUGGGAAUACCAGGUGCUGUAAGCU